ACCGGUUCGUGUCUCCGCACCGCCCAUCCCUAAAACAUCGCCACGUCCCCGCCACCCCCCUUCAAUGUCCGUCGCCACCGGCGGCGGCGUCGUCCUCUCGCGUGCCCAAUGCGCAAGCCCCACCACGCCGCGCAGCCUCCGCCGCCGCCGCCGCUCCCGCUCCCGCUCCCGCUCCCGCCGCGGAACUGCCCGCUCGCGACCGCGGUCCUGGCGCUCCUCUCCGUGCUCCUCGCCACGGCGCUGUGGGUCCUCCUCGUGCUGUCCCCGGCGUCCCACGCGAGGGGCCCAGCCGCGGGGCUGUCGGAUGCGGCGGACGCGGAGGCGUUUGCGGUGGCGGGCGGAGGAGGCGGAGGCGGCGGGGAGGGCGCGGAGGCCCCGCUGUCGCUCGGCCACAUCGUGUUCGGGAUCGCGGGCUCCGCGCACCUCUGGCCGCGCCGCCGGGAGUACGUCCGGAUGUGGUGGGACCCGGCCGCCAUGCGCGGGCACGUGUGGCUCGACGCCGGGGCGCCCGCGGCGCCGGGGCCGAGCGCGUCCGGGGAGGGGUCCCUCCUCCCGCCGAUCCGGGUGUCGGAGGACACGUCGCGGUUCCGGUACACGAACCCCACGGGCCACCCCUCGGGCCUCCGGAUCGCGCGCAUCGCCGCCGAGGCCGUGCGGCUCGUGGGCGGCGGCGGCGGGGGCGCGCGGUGGGUGGUGCUCGUGGACGACGACACCGUGGUGUCCGCGGACAACCUGGUGGCCGUGCUCGGGAAGUACGACUGGAGGGAGAUGGUGUACGUCGGCGCGCCGUCGGAGAGCCACUCGGCGAACACCUACUUCAGCCACAGUAUGGCGUUCGGGGGCGGCGGCGUCGCGCUCAGCCUCCCCCUCGCCACGGCGCUCGCGCGGACGCUCGACGUCUGCAUCGAGAGGUACCCCAAGCUGUACGGAAGUGACGAUCGCCUCCAUGCUUGCAUCACCGAGCUCGGAGUGCCCCUCUCCCGCGAGUACGGAUUCCAUCAGUGGGAUAUCAGAGGCAAUGCCCAUGGUAUAUUGGCUGCUCAUCCAAUUGCUCCUUUCAUCAGUAUCCACCAUCUGGAGCUUGUCGAUCCUAUAUACCCUGGUUUGAACUCUCUUGAGAGUUUGGAGCUCUUUACAAAGGCUAUGAAAACAGAACCCAUGAGCUUCUUGCAGCGCUCGAUUUGUUAUGAUAAAAGGCAGAAGUAUACAUUUGCAGUCUCUUUGGGUUAUGUUGUUCAAGUGUACCCCUAUGUUCUUCUUCCUCGUGAAUUGGAGCGAUCCGAGCGGACUUACAUUGCAUAUAAUAGGAUGAGUCAGCGAACUGAAUUUGAUUUUGACACUAAGGAUAUUCAGAAAUCAUUGUGCAAGAAACCUAUAUUAUUUUUCUUGAAGGAUGUUUGGAAGGAUGGAAACAUAACUAGGGGUUCUUAUAUACGUGCAAGUGUUCGGGAUGACCUAAAAAACAAAGUGUUUUGCUUCAGGUCACCCCCUUUACCUGACAUAGACGAGAUUCAAGUUUCUGCAUCCCCAUUAAGCAAAAGAUGGCAUCUGGCACCAAGAAGGUUAUGCAGUGCGCUUAAAGGAUCUAUUAAUGGCACUUUGUUUAUGUUUGUUCGGCAAUGUGGACGGGGGACAUUUGGCUCAGCUUCUGAUUCUCUAUAAUUGAUGGAAAGCAGAGGUGUAUAUUUUCUGUUCAGAUGAUACCUGGAAGAUGUAGUUACCAUCCUACAUUCUUUGAAUCGAGUGUUGUGGGGGCUCUUUUUCUGCCUCGAGCACUUGGCAGUUACCAACUGCUUGUUAUACUUGGUAGUUGUUGAAGCAGUUUGUUAAUAGAAGAAUCUGCUGAGGAACAAAGCUGAAAAAGAAAUACUGGUGGCUUUUUUUGUGGAAUCUUCAAGCUACUCGUGGAUGUACGAUACUUGUGGACGGAGACUGGGUGAACGGAGUGUCACCCUUUGAUUAGCUGCAUUAGUCUGACUGAAACAACUUUCCGGCUUCAUUCUUUGAGACCCGUGUACUAACCUUGAUGGAUUCUCAGUCGAAAUGUGAAAUCACUAAAUCAGGUAAGAACAGCACUCCAUUAGCAUUGUAUUGGAGGGCUGUAAACCUUUCCCGAUACCUUGUUUAGAACUGUAAAUCAGUGUGAACUGUGAAGCGCCAUAACCAUGAAAGAGAUUCCAUUCAAUCUUUAUUCCUUUCCAGUUCA